GGUUCUGACAGGUCCUGGCAGGGCCGUGGGAAGGUUCUGGAAGGUCCUGGCAGGGCCGUGGGAAGGUUCUGGAAGGUCCUGGCAGGGCCAUGAGCAGCACCCCCGGGUCCUGGCAGGGCCAUAGAAAGGUUCUGGCAGGGCCAGGGGAAGGUUCUGGAAGGUCCUGGCAGGGUCACGGGGAGCUGGGACAGGUCCUGGCAGAGUCAUGGAGAAGUCCCAGCAGGUCCUGGCAGGGUCACGAGCAGCACCCCCAGGUCCUGGCAGAGCCCUGGAAAGGUUCUGGCAGGUCCUGGCAGGACCAUGGAGAAGUCCCAGCAGGUCCUGGCAGGGCCAUGAGCAGGGCCAGGGCCAUGAGCAGCGACCUCAGGUCCUGGCAGGACCAUGGAGAAGUCCCAGCAGGUCCUGGCAGGGUCAUGGGCAUCACCCCCAGGUCCUGGCAGGGCCCUGGAAAGGUUCUGACAGAUCCUGGCAGGGCCAUGGAAAAGUCCCAGCAGGUCCUGGCAGGGUCACGGGCAGGGCCCCCAGGUCCUGGCAGAGCCAAGCAGGACCGGGGACAAGGACAGGGACAGGUCCUGGCAGGGCCACAGGAAGGUCCUGGCAGGGACAGGGACAGGUCCUGACAGGGCCAUGAGCAGCCCCCGCAGGUCCUGGCAGGGACAGGGACAGGGACAGGGGCAGAGCCAGGUCCUGGCAGGGCCACAGGAAGGUCCUGGCAGGGACAGGGGCAGGGACAGGUCCUGGCACGGCCAUGAGCAGCCCCCGCAGGUCCUGGCAGGGACAGGGACAGGGACAGGUCCUGGCAGGGCCACAGGAAGGUCCUGGCAGGGACAGGGACAAUCCAUAAAGUGCCGAAGAGGCCGCGGGGGCUCGGCCGGGCCCGGGGGGGUCCCCAAAGCCCCCCCGGGGGUCCCCAAAACCCCCGGGUAUUGCAUUGAUCCGACAUUCCCCCUGCAAGGACCCCGCGGGGCUGGGGGGACCCCGGGGGGG